UGCUCAGCAACUCCUAUCUCUAACUCCUCGUAGUACUGGCCAUGGUACGAGCAACCUUUGAAAAAGAUCGGGUAACAAACCCCGGUGGGAACUUUGGUCGUAUGCUGAUAGGGGAGG
rnacentral:ribozyme from 1 species